rnacentral:rRNA from 1 species
UACAGAGGGUGCAAGCGUUGUUCGGAAUUACUGGGCGUAAAGCGCGUGUAGGCGGCGGCGUAAGUCGGGUGUGAAAUCCCUCAGCUCAACUGAGGAAGUGCACUCGAUACUGUGUCGCUUGAAUGUCGGAGGGGAUGGCGGAAUUCCCGGUGUAGAGGUGAAAUUCGUAGAUAUCGGGAGGAACACCUGUGGCGAAGGGCGGCCAUCUGGGACGACGAUUGACGCUGAGACGCGAAAACGUGGGUAG